rnacentral:lncRNA from 1 species
GGUAAGAAGGUAAAAGUAGUUAUUUAUAAAUUUUAUCUGAGGCAUCUAUCUCUCUUUAGAAAGAAAGGAAAAAAAGGAAAACGAAAUGAAAAGUGCAUCCUGAGUUAGAAAGUUUCAUGUAUAUAUUGUUUUGCAAAUGAGUAAGGUUGGGAAGUUGGGUUAGUCUUAAAAGUCAGUUUGUAUGUAUACAAGUUUGAAAAUCUGUUGGUGUAUUAUAUUAGGAUCAUGCUCAUAUUAUAUGUUGGAGUUAUGAUUGAUUGUGAUAGAAGGCUUGCAUGCUCCAUAUAUUAAAGUUUGAGAGUUGGAGUUUUUGAAAUCAAUUAGUUUACUAAAUAGUUGGUUGCUAUGGACCAUAAAUAGAGCAUAGGGGAUAGGUUUGGUAGUGAGGAGAUAUAAG